rnacentral:rRNA from 1 species
CCUACGGGUGGCUGCAGUGGGGAAUCUUGCGCAAUGGGCGAAAGCCUGACGCAGCAACGCCGCGUGGGGGAUGACGGCCUUCGGGUUGUAAACCUCUUUCGACCGGGACGAAGGAUUCGUUUGACGGUACCGGUAGAAGAAGCACCGGCUAACUACGUGCCAGCAGCCGCGGUAAUACGUAGGGUGCGAGCGUUGUCCGGAAUUAUUGGGCGUAAAGAGCUCGUAGGCGGUUUGUCGCGUCGGCCGUGAAAUCCUGCCGCUUAACGGUGGGCGUG